rnacentral:rRNA from 1 species
AUUGAACGCUGGCGGCAGGCCUAACACAUGCAAGUCGAGCGGAUGAAGGGAGCUUGCUCCUGGAUUCAGCGGCGGACGGGUGAGUAAUGCCUAGGAAUCUGCCUGGUAGUGGGGGAUAACGUCCGGAAACGGGCGCUAAUACCGCAUACGUCCUGAGGGAGAAAGUGGGGGAUCUUCGGACCUCACGCUAUCAGAUGAGCCUAGGUCGGAUUAGCUAGUUGGUAGGGUAAAGGCCUACCAAGGCGACGAUCCGUAACUGGUCUGAGAGGAUGAUCAGUCACACUGGAACUGAGACACGGUCCAGACUCCUACGGGAGGCAGCAGUGGGGAAUAUUGGACAAUGGGCGAAAGCCUGAUCCAGCCAUGCCGCGUGUGUGAAGAAGGUCUUCGGAUUGUAAAGCACUUUAAGUUGGGAGGAAGGGCAGUAAGUUAAUACCUUGCUGUUUUGACGUUACCAACAGAAUAAGCACCGGCUAACUACGUG